GACGAACGCUGGCGGCGUGCUUAACACAUGCAAGUCGAACGGAAAGGCCCUGCUUUUGUGGGGUGGUGGGGUGGCGAACGGGUGAGGAACGCGUGAGUAACCUGCCCUUGACUUUGGGAUAACUUCACGAAACUGGGGCUAAUACCGGAUAGGAGCUCCUGCUGCAUGGUGGGGGUUGGAAAGUGUCGGCGGUUGGGGCUGGACUCGCGGCUGAUGAGCUUGUUGGUGGGGUAGUGGGUGACCAAGGCUUUGACGGGUAGCCGGCCUGAGAGGGUGACCGGCAACAUUGGGACUGAGAUAGGGCGCAGAAUCGUGCGGGAGGCAGCAGUGGGGAAUAGUGCACAGCGGGGGGGAGCCUGGUGCAGCGACGCCGCGUGCGGGAUGACGGCCUUCGGGUUGUGAACCGCUUUCGCCUGUGACGAAGCGUGAGUGACGGUAACGGGUAAAGAAGCACCGGCUAACUACGUG
rnacentral:rRNA from 1 species